rnacentral:sRNA from 1 species
UUUGCCGACCUUCGUUUCAGGUCCAUCCACACGACAGUAGCAGGAGCUUGCCAUUGGGCAGUUGUUUGGCUGAAUCGCGUGGGUUGGACGUUCGUAAUCAUGACGUCUGCGAUGAUUCAGUUUGCGAUGCGAGAAAAGGGCGAGCGACGACGAACGACGCGUCUUCAAGUCUAGUUGAAAAGAAAAACAGGCGGCCAGCGGCCAGCGACAAUUAAUUCCUAUUUAUUACUCGUUCGGACUAUGGCGUAUCGAGCCGAAAAAUAUGCGGUAAUCUGUUGAUAAUUUAGUCCUAUAUACUACCAAAAUCGAAGUCAUUCGUUCAUUUACUUCUUCCGUCAUUCGUUUCGUCGUCCAUCGUUUUUCGACGAUGUUCCAUCGGCCGCGCUUGCUCAUCAUCCGGACGACGCUCGUUUUCUUCUGCAUCCUAUCCUCUGCUCAUACAUGGUACUGUAUUCUUGUUCUUUACCACGCCGCUGUGGUAAUACAUACAUCAUCUGUUAUGCGUUACCGUCACCGUCACGGUCAUCGCUCAUUGUCCGCCCUCUGCACAGCAUGCACUUCAUUACUCUCUUCUUUAUAAUUAUACUUGUAUUGUUGUCAUCAUUUUUAUCAAAAAAGUGCUGUCUGGAACUCGGUCCAUGGGGUGCUGUCUGCUCCACGGUUGUUAGACCACGAAACGCAUACUUGGAGAUGAGCUAUGAGUUGUCUUGUCGUG